GGACCUUGAAUUGCUGAUUAUUGCAGAGUAAGCAGUCUGGCUCUGCAGCAGCAAAAGCGGAGGUUUUGGCUUUGAUCCAGCAACCAUCAGAAUUAGCUCAUUGUUAAGAAUAUACAGCACAUAGCCAGUCUACCAAAACCCAGUGUUUGAGAGGGAGACUUUUUCCAAGGCUGCACUCCUUUUUGGAGUGCAGUGAUUUUUAUUACAGCAGUCUGUCCCCCUUCUCUCCGCGUUUGCAUUGCAUAUGUAGAGGUAAAGCAAGUGGAAGGGAGCGAGGGCUUUUGUCUUGUGCUCACCUUCGAGGUUGGAAGGAGGAGGCACCGCAGUUCUAGAACUGCUUCUGGAAAAUAAAAUCAUGACACCAGCUUCAACAUGUCACUGAAACCAGCAACAAUGAUGGAAGUUUUCAAGAGGGAUGACUCCAGGCUCCCCUCCCAGUUCAGGCCAAAGGGAUGCAGUGCCACAAAAACAUCAUUCCUAUCUCCCGGCGUAGAAUGAAUGCAUUUGCUGUACUGAAAAAAAAACCACCACCACAAAAAACAACAUACAUAUAUAUAUAUACUUAUAUAUUACCUCCUCUUUUUCCAGAAUCAUGUAUCUUCCAUUUGUAUUAAUUCGGUGUGUGGGUAUAGAUGAGAUCAUAACAACUAUGGGAUAUUUUCUUUAAAUAAUGUUUAGGUGUUUUUGGGACUCUAAGCCUUACUGAUGUUGUAUUUUUCAAGACAUCAAAUGACACAAAACAAAUCAAGACAGACCUGCCAGACUUGAGCUACAACAAUACCUAUACUGUGAGUCCAUGUUUACAAACACUACAGGUGGGCCUCGUGCCCUGUAUCGUUGCAGCAGCAUGUCUUCCACUUGGCCACUAUACACAUUUUAACAGCUCGGUAUUUAACUCUAUAUUUGCAUUCUUGACAGGAAUUUACUGAGGCUGAGAGUCCCCAUUCUCCAUUUAGUCUGUAUAAGCUUGUUAGUUUUGUUUUUAUUGUUUUUGUUUACCUUUGCCAGUUUAAAUCCAUAUGUUAGCCAUGUACAUUUUGAUGUAUAGAAUUAGCUGUAGAAAUGCAUUGUUUCCUUGUGGUAAGUGAUUGAGAUGCUGCCACGGAUUUGAGACACUGAUGAAUGGUGCUAUUUUGGACUUUUAAUCUGCUCCUUGGUAAGGUAGCUCUGAUGGGUUAAUUUUUUCAUGUUCUGAGAUGGUGUUGGUUCUUUGUUGUUUGGUUGUUGUAACUUGGUCUGGAUUGACUUGUUUUUCUGUCGUUUUCUGUGUGGCUUUCUCAUUCAGUACAGGACAAAGAUUAAAAUGAAAAAUAAAGUAUGAUUUAUAUUGGACAGAGUUUUCUUGGAAGAUUAUGCUUGAAGUCAGUGCAGAGGGAGCAAUCACAAAACUGCAAUUUUUAAAAUUAUUUUACCUUUAAAAAAAUGUGUGCAAUUAAAUGGAUACAUACAAUGUCCCUAGCACAUUUGGAGAUUGUUAAUCAUUUUACCAUACUGUAAAAUUGGCUUUCACCAAAUGAAUUUAUUUUCAUUUUUUUAAUAAACUUAAAUAAUGCAUUUCCUGUUCAAAGCUAUCCUUUUAACUACAGAGUUAUCAAGAUACAUCUAUUUUAAUGAUACUUUUAAAAGACGUGAGUCAACUGCUGAUUUUAAGGCAUAUUUUACAGCUUUUUAUUUUGCCCCUGGCAGCAUUUAUUGGCCUUUUCAUAGUAUCUGUGAAAAUUUUAGCAAGAAAAAGGCUAUGGGUUUGUAUGUGAUUCUGUUUGGUCCGGGAAGGAGGUGGGCUUCAUGGUAUGCAAUUUGCCUACACCUGCUCCAGCAUCAGUUUCAUAUCUGUGAUCCUUAAAUGAAUCCUGGUCUUCUCGACAUGUGAAACUUGAGAGCCAGAAAACUCUGAGCAAAAUGCAUUUUCCAGACAAGGCAUACAGUAUAUACUGUAUGUAGCUUGAAUGAUGGGACAAUCCUUUCACUAGCCUCUUUUUAAAUUCCUAACUAUGCCAAUAUACUUGAAUUAUUUUGUACUUUUAGGGUGAAAACAGUUAAGGAACAUCCAGACAAGUCUUGGACAAAAUACCAAAAAGCUUAAACUUUUGCUACUAAAAAAUGUCAAAGUAUUUGCAGUUUUGUCUUUGCUUCCACUUAAUUCAUACUGUCUGCAGUUCUAAUAUGGUGACAGAGUGAAAGCCCACCUUAGUUACUCUACUCUUGUUUGUUCUUCCUUAAAGGUGCAAAUCUUCCCAGCUUAUUCUAUUCUGUCCCAGUUUCUGAUAGUUAACAACUGAUGCAUGCACUUUUCUUUAUUUUCUCUGCAAUUGUCUUUUUUUCUGUUAGAUUAGGAAUGCCAGCUGUUUUGUAUAUAGCCAGUGACUGUAUUAGACAAAUACAGCAUUUGUAUGUGGAGAUAUAUCUGAAACUGUGUAUGGCUGUUAAUGCCAGCUUUUGUAAUAAUGUGAUCUUUAAUAAUGCACUACAGGUACUAUGUGUAAUUUUUGGCUAUUUUAGUAGUAUUUCAAUAAAUAUGCAAGCUCCUAGCUUGGUUCUGUUGAAAUCUA